AGAGAGAGACAUGCGCGCAUAUCAAUAAGCGGAGGAAAAGAAACUAACUAGGAUUCCCUCAGUAACGGCGAGUGAAGCGGGAAGAGCUCAAAUUUGAAAUCUUCAAGGUUUUACCUUGACGAAUUGUAGUUUAAAGAAGUGUUUUCUGCUGGAAGUUUUGGUAAAAGUUCUUUGGAAUAGGACAUCAUAGGAGGGUGAGAAUCCCGUAUUUGACCAUUAUUUCCAGCUUUGUGAUACACUUUCAAAGAGUCGGAUUGUUUGGGAAUGCAGUCCAAAAUGGGUGGUAAAUUUCAUCUAAAGCUAAAUAUUGGCGAGAGACCGAUAGCGAACAAGUACCGUGAGGGAAAGAUGAAAAGAACUUUGAAAAGAGAGUUAAACAGUACGUGAAAUUGUCAAAAGGGAAGCGUUUGACACCAGUGUUGUUUUCUCGAAAAUCAAUUAAAAAUGGCUCGAUUUUGUAUUGUUGAGACCUUAAAAGCUCACUGUACAUUUUUCGUGUCUUUUUUAAUGCACUUUUCGUUUAACAAGUCAACAUCAGUUUCUUUUGUUGUAAAAGGGUCAUUGGAAGGUGGCUUUCUUUUCGGAGAAAGUGUUUAUAGCCUUUGGCCUCUGCAAUCGGAGAGACUGAGGUCUGCAGCGUAGACUCUUCGGGGUUAGAUACAUUUGUGCUAAGUUAUAGCUUUUUAUAGACAACUUGUUGACUAUAAUUAGUCUUGUAGCUUACUCGCUUAUGCUAUUUUACCUACGCUUAGGAUGUUGAAGAUGUAGCACAUCAU
rnacentral:rRNA from 1 species